CCAAGAUGACAGUUCACCCCAUUUCUUUCUCCCCGGGAGGGCUGGCCCUGUGUAUGUCAGGCAGCUCCCCAGGCUGGGACCGUCAGCUCUUACUCACUCUUCCCGAGGAGAAGCUUAAUUAGCCUCCCAGCAGCCAGGAUCACCCCAGAUGAAAGGUGCUGAAUGCGAGUAUAAGGUGUGACCCCCCAUAUUUAUAACCGAGGCUCCCUUAGGUGAGAAAGGCCGGGGGCGGAGAGGCAGACCAGAUCAGGGCCUUGCCUUGUUUAUGACAGAGGUUCUCAGGAAAAGGAGCUGGCUGUGGAUCCUGGACUCCCUCGACAAUCGGCAGCGCUUGGUGGGCAGCUGCGGGCACCCAGUCUUCUCCACACAGCACCCAGGACAGAGAGAGAUCAGCCGCUGAGGCAGGUAACGCUGAUGCAGUCAGAGAUGGGGACAAAGGGCAGGUCUGCGGCACAGGACUCUUGAUCCACGUCUGGCAAAGCAGAUGCCGCAAGAACUGUCCUUGUCCCCUUGGAUCCUGCUGGGACUCCUGAAGUUGGGUCCAGUGAGGCCAAGAAGUGCGGAGCCACCAGGCUCAGGACAGUUGCCGAGGCUGCUCUCUGAGCUCAGCUGGCAUUUCCUGGAGCCCUUCCAAGUGCCCGAUGAGUGAGCGUUUUACAGCCGAGGUGACUUGGGACAAACAAGCAACACCAAAGAGGUCACAGCGAGUUCAUAGCAGGAAAGAGAUGUGGACGAUGUGAAUCUGUUCCCCAGAUGGCCUCACCUGGCACCAUGGCGAGGAAGAAGGGAGAGACGUCGGCUCCCUCACCUCUGAUGUCACUUCUCCAGCACAUGUUCCCAAGUAGGGGUGAGGUAGUCUAGUCACCGUGUGGCUUCGGAGAUGACAUUCUCGGGAAUUCUAGCCCCUGCCAACCGUGGGCAUUGACACUCCUGGAGCAGGCCAGGGAAGGAGUGCGGUUUCCAGCCAACAGCCCUGCGCAGCACACUGGGACCCACCAGUGGAAGGGCCGCUCGGUCAUCAGGCAAUCAUGAAGACCUUCUUUAUGCCCAGAGCCCUGUAGUCCCUAAUUGAGGGACCUCCAUUCCCGGGACAGAAGCGGGUGCUGAGCCAGGGAGCAGGGCAGUGGGAGUUCCCAAGAGCCAACGACAACAAACCCGUGCUCACAAAGGCAGUGGUGGGCACCACCUCACACAGGGUGCCCCUCACCUCAGAGGAAAGGAUCUGUAGCCUCAAGGAUGCUAAGAUGUGAGUGGCCCUGCCAACGCUCAGCUUCAGUGCCGCACAACCUGUUACACCUGCCUAGGAUGUCCACUUGGCGAUGCCCAGACAAGAUGGUGUGCGCUGUCAGUGUACCCUGUUCAGGCCACGUCUCUGCCUGGGGCUGGAAAUUCAUUUCAUUCAUUCAUUCAAUGCCAGUCGCUCUACCAGGCAACGAGGAUAAAAAGACCGCAUAUAAUAACAAGUGCUUAGUCGCUGUGCUCUAGAGAACUUAAAACAGAGCAAGGUUAGGGGUGUCAUUCUGGUAGAACGCUUGCAUGGUGUGUGAGAGCCCUGGGUUUGACCCUCAGCGCUGAAAAAAAAAAAAAAGAAAGAAAGAAAUAGCUAAGUAUUAAGGUGGCAUGAGGGCCGGACCAGCAACGGCCACAUGGCAUCAGCAGGGCAGUACCCAACCUGGGGGCAGCUGUAGCUGGUAGCUGCAGCUUGCCUCCCACAAGCCCCCACCACCUAUCUCAGGCCUUCUCCUCCAAAGCAGGCGCCCCUGUCUGCACCACUACCUAUACCAGUACCUGGAAGGCAGGCGGCAUUGCCCAGCCAACGAAUCAGAGAGGGGGAGAAGGUGUGCCACCACAACUCACCAGGGCCCCCUGUCGUCACUCCAGGAGACAGUGCGGGCCGCUGGGCUGAGCUGAAUGGCCAGGGGCUCUCUCAGGAUGGACCGCUGUCACCAUUCCCUCACAAUAGAGCUCUAGCCGGGUUCUAAGCAUGUAUGUCUUAAACUACGAAGAUUUUACUCAUGACUUUCCCAAGGCCACGGGGCUAGCGUGCGGAGGAUUUGCACUGCGGUCUGGCUCACCCCAGAGUUUCACACACACAGUUCAACACAUCCCCCAAGCAAGCCAGCAUCUGUUUUCCUAAAGGAGCCCACAAUGGUCCCCUGUGUGCUGCGCAGGCUCCGAGCCAGGCUGCCUACCAAGGAGUAAAGGACGCAAUCAUCCGACACAGACUCCCUACCCCAGCCAUGCUCCUGCCUCUCCCCGUCUCCUGCCUGGUCCUCACCAGUCUGUGCACCGACAGGAAGGCCUUCCUGCCUCCAGGAAACUCACAGAGGGUCUGGAGGGAGCUGUCCCCACUGGGUCCAAGUGGGUAGACUGGGCCUGGAGAAGGAAGGGAAAUGGAUGGGGGGCUCUAGGUUCUGGUGGUCAGUGCGCCUCAGCUAGGGAUGAAAUGAACCCUUCAAGCCCGCUCACACCUCCAGCAGCUGGCCUGGGGAACUGCCAUGACAGAGGGCUGAGGGAGCAAGCCAGGUCUUGCUCCAGGUACCUUGACUGACCUGAGGAAACCCCGGGUGCUCCUCAGGGAAUCAGGCAGAGGGAUUGGGGUGCGUGGGAAGGUGGCUGAUUACCAUCUUCCAUUUCAGGUCUGGGGUGGAGUCACCUGCCUGAGCAAUAUAAGCUUGUUGUUUAGCCUCGAUGAGCCCCUGCCUGCCCUGGGCACACCAGGGGUCAGGCGGGGUAACAAGUGGGCCAAGCAAAGCCAGGACAUGGUCUCUGAGAGGCCCACCAACCUCAGCUCCACUCUCUGGCUUCCAGCUGAAACACUUCACACGCAUCGAUCCUGAAGCCGCUCUUCAAAUUCCCUCCAAGAUGAGGAAACUGAGGCCCAGAGAGAGUGGAGAAAUGUGCCCGUGGCCAUGUGGGUCAGCGAGGAUGUGCAUUUGGUGCCUCUGACUCCAAAAGUUUUGUCUUUGACGCCCACGUAGAGCUUCUCUGGUCACAGUGCCCAACAUCAGGAUCAGCGAUUGUGGGAGGGAGGAGGGACUUUCCCCUAGCACCCAAGUAGAUGGAUGAGUGAGUGGAGAGUGGCUCAGGGCAUUAGUGAGUGGAUGAGGGCACCGGUCCCUGGAUGAGUAUAUCGGUGAGCAGGUGAAGUAGGUCAGUGAAUAGAGCAUAUCAGGGAACGGGCAAAUGAGUGAUAGUCAAAUGGCUAAUGGUUCAGAGCAGAACAGAAGACAAGGGGCAGGAGGCUAAAUGGCUCUUCUAGAGACAGAAAAAAAAAACAAAAAACAAAAAAAACCCGGCUCCUCUGUCAAAUGGCCUUUUGGAGAGAUGCAAGCAGGAACGUGCCUUCUGGGAAAGUGCGUGGCUCUUUGGUGUGCUGUCUCACUAGGGAGACUAUCCCUACACUUCCCUCCCUUGAAAUAAGCCUCCAGAAAACAGACGCUGGGGACCCAGGGGCCCUGUGCACUCCCAUGGUCACUCGGCGAUGGGCUGGGUCAGUCAAUCAUUGACAGGCCUUUGAGAGCUCCGUUGCUUAAGAGGACCCUGGAAUUGACCCGCUCACCUCUGGCAGGGAGGGAAAGAGGAAGGAGAGAUCCAUUGCAACCAUGUGGUGGCUCACAACCGUCUAUAUUGAGAUCCAGCGCCCUCUUCUGGCAUGCAGGUGUACAUGCAGGCAGAAUACUGUAUACAUAAUAAAUAAAUGGAGCCCAUGUACGAGGAACAAGGGGAGUGGAACUCAAGGUUGAUUGUGGGAGCUAAAGGGCACACAGAGAAGCCCCUCUCUCCCCGGGGCCAGAACCAGACAACUCCGGGAGAAACCGAGAAAGCAAGGGGCAGCUACUGAUUAGCCAGUGGAUCCCUGAAGAACAAGUUCCAAAUUCUGUUCCACUCCGAGACCAAGAACGACAAGAGAGUCCUGGAGAGGAGUGAAAAUGCCUUCUGUCGACCACUAUAGAUUCUUUAGCUGGGUGGAAGACAGAGUAACAGGAGAGAAAUCAUAUUUAAUCUAACGUUUGCACAUAGUCACACACAAACUGUGAGACUUGAACAAGAGUCCCAUGACUUGAGUUUACAUGGCAACCUGAGCCCCAGAAGGGAACCAGGAUUCGGGGUGCCUGGGAGACAGCUGACACGCUACAAGAGCCAGAGGCGGAACUGCAGCUUGAGGAGCAUUUGUCUUGUUAAAAAGAAAGUCGCUCUGCCCAAAAAGUCUGGAAUAGCCCCUUCCGGGGUACCUGCCAAUGUAUUGCCAAUGUAUGGUCAUCAAUUUCUUUCAGGGCCACUCCUGCGCCUGUAGUCUCUCAGGAUAAGUCACUCAAAAUAUGCCAGAGAAGUAUAUUCAGGGGUGGCAUAUUCGGGUCUCCUACCCUCAGGCUUUGAGCGAAGUCUCAUGACCUUGGCCCAGAUGUGGUCUGGCACAAUCCUCCCAGUAGUGAGUUGUUGGGACAUACCAUAUGAUCCAGUGGGAUUACAAAGGGUCCAGGGAGGCCACCAAAGGCAAAUUCCCCGGGGAUGAACUGAGCCAGAGCUUUUUUAUACUUCUGUUCCCAAAUGAAGACUUCGGGGCUAGCAGAGGUGACCCGCGCCCUCUAGUGGCCACUUUCCACACAGGCCGAACGGGGCUUCCCUACCCACAAUCCCAGGGAACGGGGUGGAUUGGAGGCUCUGCCUCUGUGUGCUGAGGUGAGUCCGGAAAACAAAGAACAGAGUCUACUCAGAGAUACGAAGAGCAGAACAUCAGCCAUCACCGGCACGAUAGGACAGCGAGAAGUGCAGAAGGCGUCUCUUAGCCAUUCGGCUCCCCAGCAGUAGAUGAAGAAGCCCUGGUGGGAAAGAGAUUCUCAGCCCCGCCCACAGGACGAGGCCUCAGUGCUCAGCAGCCUCAAGCUGGUUGUGGGUUUUGGUGAGACCGUGGUUCCUCAGACAGCGGUCAGCAGCGAUGGGUCAGCAGCGAAGAGGUCUGUUUUGUCCUUCCCCGGGUCUUGAAGGGCUGUUGAAAGGGGAUCUAUUAUUUAAAACUGGACGCUGCAGGGCAGUGGUGGCAGGAGGAGGUAGGUGGAUCUCUGUGAGUUCGAGGACCGCCUGAUCUACAUAGAGCAAGUUUCAAGACAGCCAAGCUACACAGAGACACCCUGUUUCGAAAAACCAAACCAACCAACCAAGCAAGCAAACAAACAAACAAAAAAACUGGGCUACACUAGGAGCUCAGAGCUGAUCACAUCACCUGGGAAUAACUGUAGAGCCUGACAGGCCUGAGAUCAGAGGACGGUCAACCGCUGCUGCCACGGUCACUGCCAUGGCAACUGAGAACUCAAAGCCUCCGCAGCCCUGUCCCUCUCCUGGGUUGUUUAUUACUCAUCCGCUUUGAAGUUAAGUCCUGACCACGCUCAGCUCUUUGUCUGCCCCUCCUUUCCCAGUGCGCUCAGGAGAGAGCUUCUGACCAGAACAGCAGCCAGCACAGGACUCGCAGCCUUCACAGUCACAGACUGCAAGGCUGGGUGUGGCCGGCAAAGGGUCCCGGUUCACAAGGAAGGGGAAAUGCCGGAGUGGCACAACUCUAGAGGACGCAUCUGUCAGACGCCUGAACAUCGGCAUAAAUCACAGGAAAGACAGGAGUCUUCAGGUACAACUGAACCCUUCCGGCGCCUUCACCUGGCAGAUCCCAACUACAGAGCAUCCAGAACAAAGCGGCUCCAGUACUUCAUCUGUGUUGUUCCCCUCUGCUCCACGUCUCACCCUUUUUCUUUUUAUUAUACUGUCAGCAGUGUUUUGGCUUUUUUUUUUUUCCUUUUCUUUUACAUUGUGUGUGUGAAAGACAGAGAGAGAGGAAGGGAGGGAGGAAGGAAGGAAGGGAGGGAGGGAGGGAGGGAGGAAGGAAGGAAGGAAGGAAGGAAGGAAGGAAGGAAGGAAGGAAGGAAGGGAGAGAGAGAGAGGGAGACAGAUCCCUGGAACUGGAGUUAUGGAGGGUUGUGAGCUACCUUGUGGGGGUCUGGGGAUCAAACCUGGGUCCUCUGUGAGAGCAGCUGGUACUGUUGUCAACCACUAAGCCAUCUCUCCAGCCCUCUUGGGAGGUGUCUUUUAUUAAAUCUCUUGCUUUCUCCUCUUUCUCUUCAUACCAUUCCUCUCUCCUAUCCAUCGCCCUUUCUCUUAUUAAACCCUCUCCUUACGCUCCCCUCUCCUUACCCCUAUACUUCAGGACAUUCAUUUGAUGUUUAUGUGUGUGUGUGUAACUUUUAGUUUCAUAGUGCACUCUCCAUUGUUUUCCGCAGUUCCUGUGGUCAUUGGUGCUGUAUUAUUGGGCUUUAAUGGUUUUUAAACGUGUUUAUCUUUUUUGUUUUGGUGUCAUUGUUGUUAUAACAGUUUAACCAUCUUCUCUCAGUGGUCCCGGGGACUGAGUCUUCAUGGGGACAUUUCUGAAUAAAACUGAAAAAGAUAACUAACCGACAGACGAACAAACGACAAUACAGAGAGCCAGACAGUGGUCACACCUUUAGUCUCGAUACUAAUGAGUAUAUAUAUCAUAUAUUACAUAGUAUGUACAGUUAGAGUAUACAGCUUAUAGUAUAUAGUGUGUGUUUAGUAUAAUAUAUGAGCAGCACAAAUUGGACUUGGUGGGUUUAUAUUUUUUAAGUUGGAAGAGUAUGGAGAGUGUGGUAUGUGGAUUUUGGAGAGUUAAGGGGAGGAAUGGAGGGGGAAUAUUAUCCAAAAGGUUGUAACUCCUCAAUUACUGAACACAAAGACACUAAAAUGGGUGCAAUUCUUGGUGAAGAAUUACAAUACCUGUAAAAUGAUUAGUGACAUCAAAGAGGACACAACCGAGCAGGUAAAUGAAGAAAAUCUAUUGUAUUGGUAUGUACAUGGGCUACAUAUACCAUACAUGCACACUCACAAUGAUAAUUAAUAAUUAAAAAUUAAAAAUUAAAGCUAUACAAUAAAAACACCAACUCACUCACAAAAGCAAACCCAUCAGAAAAACAUCAGGAAGCAGGAGAUGCUCAUGAGCCCCCACCCCUGCCUGAGGAGUUAUUGAUAGUUGGUGGCUGUCUGGGGAGAGAGAGUCAGUUUUCCUAAGGGUGUCACCCUAGGUGGUCAGCCAUGCUCUGUAACCAAAUGAAAACGAAAGCACAGCCAGAACCUUUGAGCUAUAGGAGAUAGCUCUAAGAGGAAAGUUUUUAGUUAAUGAGUGUUUGUAUUAAAAACAAAACAAAAAGACAAAGCAGGGGCUGGAGAGACGGCUCAGCUUAAGGUUGUGUGCUUCCUGCUUUUCCAGAGAACCCAAGCUAAGUUCCAAGUACCCAUAUCAGGCGGCUUACAUAUCUGCCCAUAACUCCAGACUGAGGUAAUACGAUGGCCUCUUCCGGCCUUUGUGGGCACCCACACACAUGGCAUACACUCACAUAGAUAUAGUCACAUACACAUAAAUAAAAUAAAUCAUCUCACGUUGUUGUUGGUUAUUCCUGAAGAUGCCCACGCCUUGGUCAAAGGAUAUAGACAAACCAAGUUGGAACUGAGCUGGAAACUUCCUUUCUUCUGGCUAGCCGUCAUCACAGUGCCAGAAGGUGUAAAAAUAACUUCUAUCCACCUGUUUCAAUUGUUGCCUGAGAGACUUACUACCUUCUUCUAACUAGACCUAGUCCUAGAAGCUUCUAUCCUCUGUACCAGCUAAGGUAGGCCUAAAAUGUUUUCAGCCUCUGAGACUUACUGCUUAAUAAGCUCACUCUUUCUAAUUCCUUCCGAACUUGCUGGCUGGUUCAACUCAGCUGUUCUAGCUCAAACUCCUCUCCCAGCUGACUUACUCAAUCUGGCUUUUCUCUAGGCCUCUGAAUUGUUCUGCUCGGCCUUAAACUAACUCCAGCCAUCUGUUCUAAUCUCCUGUCUCCUUUUUAUUUCUGUCCCAGUAAAACUCUUCCUCUCUCUAGCAUUACCCCUUACGUAGCUUCCCCACUCUCUUCGCCUGUCAAAGUCUUUUUCUGGUUCGCCACUGUUUCUGCCACUCAAUUGGAGAGCACUUUCAUACACAGUGCUUCCUUCUGCAAACUACUUUGCCUUCGUUGCUUGAGAUUAAAAACAUGUGCCACCACACCUGGAGCUAAGCUUUUCUUUCCCUGAAACACUAUAAAAAAACUCUAUACCAGGCUGACUUCAAACUCAGAUCUACUUGCCUCUGAAUCCUGGAUUAAAGAUGUGUUUGUAUUCCAGCUGGAUCACACAGACCUAGGAGAUCUUUGGGUGUGAUCUCUUGCCAGAGCACCAUGUUCUGAAUUAAAAUUCCUCUCUAAGAAAGUA